GUUUCUAUAGCAAUGGGUACGAUCAGCCGAGCAACUGUUGCUUGCCUGACACAGUUAACCAAAAUCGUCCUGAAACCUUCAUUUAUUCACAAUCAUCCUGUAAUGUGUAGCAUAAUUAGUAUCUACAAGGGUAAGGAAGUUGUACAUAAUCCACAUGCGGUCAGUAAUGACUUCUUCCCUCCCACUUCUAAACUCUCCGCUUGUUAGUUAGGUGGCGCUACACGCAAUUUAUUAACAAAUUUGACAUUGUAUAAAACUUGAAGGUCCGUAUUACGUCUAGUGAAAUUUCAAAAGGCCAGUGAUAAUAUUUAUAUACAUAUUAACUAACUGGUAUAUUUAUAUUAACUACAUUGUGUGAAAGAAAAAAACUGAAGUCCCAGUCAAAAACAAAGUUUAAGAUAUAUUAAAUUACUUGAAUUCUACCUUUUGCUAAUGAUAAUAUCGGGCCACAUUCAAAUGAGAUGAAAAAAUCGUACAUACGUCCGAAAGGGAUUCAUCUUCGUGGAAACUCAAAACUUCCCCGUCAUUGCAGUUUUAACUUUUAAUGGAUGGUUGGCAUGUUAUUUACUUGAAUUAGCUACAAGAAAUGUUAUCGGACGCAAGAUGCUCCAAACGCUUUACAAGGUUACAAAGAAGAAUUUCAGUUUCAUAUACGAGUUUUCCUUUGUAUUAAGAAUGGAGAGUGUUAAAUAAUAUUGUGUGCACCUAUGUGUAAAUACCCUGUAAUUAAAAUAUGAAAGAAACAUUCGUACAAACUGCGCAAUGUACUUAACCUAUAAAUGUGGAUAGGUACCUAUUUAAGUGUAUUUGUGCUAGGUAUUCCAUUUUUACUUAAUUAAAUUAUAGUUACAGUCCUGUUAA